rnacentral:lncRNA from 1 species
UUCAAUUCUAUAUAAUAAAUAUUAUACUAUAUUGUUCGAUAUCCUUAGUUUACCUUUGCUUGAUUUGCUACUUCAAGCUGCUACAUUAAUGGCUGCACCUUGGUCGUGUUGUUUACUUGCACUGCUUGUUUUGGUGUCAAUUAUUGAAUCAGAAAGCAGAGUGGCUAGGAAGGAUUUGGGUUUGGACCUUGGUGGAUUGGGAAUUGGACUUGGUGCAGGAGUUGGUUUAGGAAUUGGAGGUGGCAGUGGCUCUGGAGCCGGAGCUGGUGCAGGCUCUGGUUCUGGUUCUAGCUCUUCCUCAAGUUCAUCGUCCUCUUCGUCUUCUAGUUCUGGGUCUGGUUCCGGGGCAGGGUCGGAAGCAGGCUCAUAUGCAGGCUCUCGGGCUGGUUCGGGAUCAGGUGGUAGAAGUCGCGGUGGUGGUCGUGGUGGUGGUGGAGGAGGUGGUGGAGGCGGUGGUGGAGGAGGUGGUGGAGGCUCUGGGCAGGGCUCUGGUUAUGGUGAGGGUUAUGGUCAUGGUGGGGGUUAUGGUGAAGGUGGGGGUGAUUAAUUCAGGAAAUGCAUGAAUUGACUAAUAUAUAAAUAACUAAUAUGGUUGACACAAAUAAAAGAAAAUAUAAGUAGCAGCUGGUGUGAAUGAAAUAAUGAACACGUUAGAUGGUUGAUUCCAUGCAUCAUGUGUGUUUUAGUGAAGAAAAAUUAGUUGUGUUUCAAUUUCAACCUUUUGUUUUAGUCUUCUUGUUAUGAAAAUUUCCAAUAUCUACUUGUAAUUUGGCAUAGCUUUAACUUUUUGAGUUGUAGAUGAUGGCACUGUUGUAUUGUACCAUGGUUGAAUUCAGAUAUAUAUCAUAUCAUAUAUAUACAAGUAUUGAUUAAUUUCCACUCAAAAUUGCCGUGUUCUUAUCUAGUUUGCUUUCUUUUUCAUGCAGACCAACUUUUAAGUACUGUAUAAUUAAUAUUCCUCAAAAAAAAAAUAUCAUGUAUAAUACUUAAGUUACAAAUUUAUACCAUUUGGUUGCACAUGAAAUUUGAAACCUAUAUAUAUAAGUCUAUAUAUUCUUUUCCCAUUUCUAAUUACAUGCAGAUGAAAUCUUUUCUUUAUGGCAAUGCAGAUAAAAGUUUUGUUACUGCAUAUAUAGUUUUGGUUUCUCUAUAAUAAGCAAUUUAUUGUGGAUGCAAAUAUACCUAUCUUAUAUGGAUUGUAUGACAAGUGGGAAGGGACGAACGUACAAAGCUAGUGAGACGUAGGUACAAUAAAACGGAACUACAUCUGCUGUGUAGUCUAUAUAUUGUGAGAUAUGGCCACAAUUGGCUGAACUUGGUUGCUAAACUUUGUUUUUCUAUAACUCUAUUGUUUGCUUCUAAUAAUGCCGCCUUCCCACACCAUAGCCUUCCUUCAAUGGAACCACAUUUAGCCAUCAAUAAAAUUUACGGGAUCUAACUUUUCUAUACCAAAGGUGUAAAGCCGUGGUUAAAGGGUCAGGGCACUGAAAUAGUUUAAGGAGGUCCAUGGUUCGAUCAAUUCGGCUAACAUUUUUUUUUCCUCUCUAACAACUAACAUUUGCCUAUAAAAAAAACUUCACUAUAAGUGAAGUGCAAUUCGAUGCACUCCUCGUCUUUAUGCUCAAAUUUGUUGAUGCCGCAACUCAAAUUUGUUGAUGCCGCAACUCAAUCUCAAUGUCCAGCCAAACUCAUGGAGACUAUGAAUAUUGGAGAAGGCAAGAUCAACUUGUUUUUCAUGUCAUUCUCUCAUCCAUGGAUCAGAAUGUUAUCACUCUACUUGGCAGUGAACAAACUUCCAAACAAGCAUGGGACUCACACUCACAUCAUGUAACGCUAGGAUCGUCUCUCUCGCUUCAACAAAGGCUCUCAAUCUAUUUACCUUCAAAGUAUAAUGGCUCUAUCAAAUGAGCUUGGUCUGAUCAAAUAUCCUCUGGAUGACAUAGUCAUUCACACCCACAAUGGUCUUGACUCUUGAGUCUAAAUAAAAAGAGAUCUCUACAUUAUCCCGUUAUUCAAGAUCCCCUUGGAUCACAUAAAUAUACCAAACAGAAAUCACCCUAAAAUAUGGUCAUUAACAAAUGAAUCUAACAUUUGUUAAAAUAAAUAAAAUGAAUCUAACAUUUGUUAAAAUAAAUAAAAUGAAUCUAACAGAAGAGUUCGGAACUGUACACUGAUCCUCAUUGAGUAAGUCACUCAUAGGCAGGGCCGUCCCUAAAAAUUCGGAGGCUCGGCUCUGAGAAUGAAAAGAGGUCAGUGAUAAAAUCAAAACGUAUUUUUUUAAAAAAAACAAUGAUCUAUUUAUAUUUUUUAAAAGAUAAAUAUAAGGUGCCGUAUAUAUGCGGUACACCCAAAGAUAAAAAUGACUACCGUAUACAUGAGGAACCCCUACCUAACACCAAAAGCAAGAGGACCUAAUUCUAAUAGGCCUAAAAGGCUAAAACAAGGAGACAGAAAAUGGCUAGGGGUAUUAAAAAAAUAAAAUGGAGGACAGUAGUACUAGUGGGUAUUAAAAAAAAAAUUGAGGCCCAUGACUGAGGGAUGCCCAGCUCUAUUGAGCUGUUUGCACCCCCUCAGGGACGGGCUGCUCAUAGGGUAAUAAAAGCAUUCUUGAACCUUCCAUAAGAAUGAGCACCAGAUAUAGUAAUCUAGGUGCAAAUUGAUCAUCAUGCAACAAAAAGUUAAUGAUAUACCACUACUAGCUUAUACAAAAAUUUGGAGACAAUUGAUCAAAAAAAGCUUAUACAAAAAUUAGGAGAUUGGCAGUGGCACCAGGCAAGCAAAAAGCAGACUUUCAUGUGUAUUAACAAAAUCCUUACCAUAACCAUGAGAUGAGCUGUCUACACAAAGGAUCACUGAUAUAUUUUUAAAUUUGAAAAUGAGCAAAAAAACCAAACCAUACCUUUGUAGCACCGACACUUUUAAUUAAAGACGUGAUUAAUGUUCAACACAUAUCAAUUUCUAAAACCGACACGUGUGGUUUUAUAUAUCAGUAAUCAGUGUUAAUGUCGUGUCUGUGUUUGUACAACUGUUUCGUAGUACCAUACCAUACAUAGUCAACAAUAAACAACCUUUCAUCCUCCACUAAGUAGAGUGGCCAUCGUAUGAGUCGGCAUUGUAUUGGCACAUGCCAUAAAUCAUGCCAAUGAGCAAGUUCAAGGCGUUUCAACCACAAGUUUUUAUCCAUCCAAAUUCAAAUAUGCCACGCCAAUAUGAUCUCCUCUACUUUCUAGCCUCAAACUUAAAAUAAUCAUUCCGCAUUUUCACACCAACACUAUACAUACUCUACAACUUAAUUUCACGCCAUGCCAUCAACCAUAGAAUUCAGCAUCUAUAAAUACUCCAAAAACCUUUAAGACCUCUUCACAGUAGCCAACAAAUCAAAUACACUACAUACCCUCUAAAGUUUGUUCAAUUCGAUACUAUACUUGUACUAUAUAGUUGGCAUUAUAAUUAAUAACAAGGAAUCAAUGGCUGCACCUUGGUCAUGUUGUUUACUUGCGGUGCUCGUUUUGAUGUCAGUUAUUGAAUCAGAAAGCAGAGUAGCAAGGAAGGAUUUGGGUUUGGACCUCGGUGGGUUGGGAAUUGGACUUGGUGCAGGAGUAGGCUUGGGAAUUGGAGGUGGCAGUGGCUCUGGAGCCGGAGCAGGAGCUGGCUCUGGAGCCGGAGCAGGAGCUGGCUCUGGCUCUGGUUCUAGUUCUUCCUCAAGUUCAUCAUCAUCUUCAUCUUCUAGUUCCGGUUCCGGUUCUGGGGCAGGGUCGGAGGCAGGCUCAUAUGCAGGCUCUCGGG